CAAGGGGGUGGUUCUUGUUGCUCCCCACACAGAAAGCCAGUUACUGAGACGUGGAAGGUUGUCAAGGAUUUAUUGCAGAGGAGGCAUCAGCUGGGAGGGGAAGGUAUGGAUUGUCUCAAAUCUGCCUCUCCAGUCAAGAGGGUCAGGGUUGUUUCUGGAGGUGAAGUGAGUAAUGUAUGAGGGGUGUGAGCAACAUUGUACAUUUGGGGUGGAAUGCAAGGAACAGUGAGAAGUCAUGCUGACACAUACAUCCUGUGAUCAAAAAUAUGGCAGGGAUAUCCUACCCAGGGCAGGGAUUGUAGUAGUAUAAUGAGAUAGGGGUUAAUAUUGGUCAUUCUUUUAGCUUUGUGUCCAGGCAGGAUAUGGCAAUUGGCUGUUCACUGGGUCCUGAGGCAUAAUUUGUGGUGGGGGGUUGCUUAUUUUGUCUUCUCCAAACAGGUGGUGUGAGGUCCUGUAGUUGUCUCAUGGCUCUAGGAAGUUUUUGCUGAUUCUGGGAAAGAAAUUCAAAAGGGAGUGCAUCAAUCCAACAGAAAGCCAUCCUGAGCCAUGGCUGAGCUUCAGCUCUACUGUUUUGGAUAUUCACCUAAUUCACCUUUCAGUGUGGAUUGAGGUUACUCUUUGUGUACCUGUGGUACCUGCUAUUGAAAUAAAUAUCAACUACCUGGGAAAAUAGAGACAUCAGAAAGGUAAGGAACAUCCAAGAGAAAGUCUUUGCUGUUGUUUUUAUUUCCUAUUCCCACAUGUCUAAAUGAGUCUUGUUGGUUUAGAGAUUGGUAGAACAUCUCUCUUCUAGGGAAGAGGUUGGGCAGGGCUAGGGGCUAAGGAGGACUAAAGUUCCACCUCAGGCUUAUAGGCUGCCAAUCUGGGUGUGGUGGAAGGUUCUAGGAUAAAACUCCAAACAGUAAUUUCAUGGUCCUCGAUUGGCAUAUUUAGAAAGCAUGGGUGUCUCUGAAGGAGAACAGUCUCUCUUGACACUUGAUCUCAAGUAGCAUUCCUGUUGGAUGUCAUUCAACCAAGCUUUCAUGUUGAGCAGAUCAGGAGAGCAAUGUUGAGAGCCUCUGAGCUCUGCUCCCAGGAUAUGUGGUCCUUUAAGGGAGCAGGCAUGACUAUUGGCUUCUGAUUCUGUGUCUCCUGUGAGCACACGACUUCUGAGAACAUCAUAUGGGGAUUUUAGAAAUGAAAUCUUCCUUUGAGUUUUUCAAAGGAAAGAGGAAUUAGAGAAGUGAGUCAUGGCCUGUUACUUUUUACUUUUUGUUCUUGCUCUCAGAGCCAAGAGAAGAGAAGGUGGAAGGAACAUUGAAAGGUAAAGUUCUGCCUAUUUGACCUGAGCUCUCCAGUGGUGAGGUUUCCCGUUCUUUCCAUGAGGUCCCAGGUACAUGAUUUCUGAGGAUGUCUUUUACUAGGUAUAGCACUCAGAGGAGACACUCAUGGAAUGACAAAGGGACCCGAGAUACUUAGAGUCCCUGUUUUGCCCAUAUGUGAGCAUGAAGGGGUGAUGGACCUGGGCAAUGGGUGUUGUCUAAUAGAUGGUCAUGUGAGAUGUUGAGGAAGGACUACCAAUUGCUUUGGAAUUAGAACCUCUGUCUCCUGACUUUGUAUAAGUAUUUUGACUUCCUGGGUGCUCGGAUUCCACUUUGCAGUAACCACUGUUAUCUGUGUUUCACGUGGUAGUUUUCAGUAUCAUGUGGAAUAAUGUAUGUGAAAGUACAUUAUAGAUGAGGCCACACGUACAUGUGAAUGUUGUCAAUAUUAUUUUUGACCAUUUGGCCUUGUCUGCUGAUUUUGGGUGCUAUCAGAGUUUAUAUCCCAAGGGACUUCUGUAUAAUCCCUGUGCUUCUUACCUUCCUUACAUAUAACCUACUCUCCUGGUUUUCUAGGUCAGAGAUUUUGCCAGAGAAGCAGAGGAAGAAAGGAAGCUGCUUUCUUUUCUGAUAAGGAAUGCAGAAGACAUGAUCAGGAUGGGCCAGGGGGGCUGGUCAGUCACAGCGAAGGAGAGGACUGCCCCCUUCACUCCACUUCUUGGAGUUCUCCAGGUGUGACAGGACUCAGCCCGAGGGCAGGAGGAAACAAGAAGCAGGAGGUGAGCCCAAUGGCAAUAUCCAUGGUCCCAAGUUACUCUCGCAGUGGCUUUGAAUGGAUCUAGGCACACGGCAUUGGGAGCCACAGGGCAGAGCCUGUCAAGUCCUGCAGCAGCAGAGCCAUCAGGAUGGACACAACUAUUUGGUGAGACCACAGACUGGAGCCACUCGCAGCCCAAGGUCACAAAGUCAAAAUUGCUGCACCCAGCUCUAAAGCUUUUCAUGAAGAAAAGGUGGAAACAACAAAAUCAUUUCCUAGCCUGGAUUCUCUUCUCCCUGCUAAUUCCCCUGUGGGCAAAAGAGGAUAGGGAGCCCUAAGACAAUCACCAUCUGAUACCAACCAUGAGCUUACAGAGAACAACCAGACAAUUGAGGAUGGCAGGCAGCCUUUUCUUUGCCUCCCACCCCAGCAGCAUAGUUAUAAGCUGACUAUACUGGCCAAAAGAUAUAGCCAAAGAUAUCCACAAAGUAAGCUGGGGGUGGACAUGACACUGUAGAUGAGAACGUAAGUUCCGGGGAUGGAUUAGAAAGUCUUCAUGGCAAAAGGAUGAAGAAAU